GCUACAAGCUUUAAACUGAAGAGUUUGAUCCUGGCUCAGAUUGAACGCUGGCGGCAUGCCUAACACAUGCAAGUCGAAC
rnacentral:rRNA from 1 species